GCUAAUGUCAAACUUAAACAUACUAAAAUCAUAAGCACAAUAAAAUCCUUUCAGAUGUCACUUUUUUUCUCCUUUUUUCAUUCAAAUAGAGUAAAAGAUAGCUGGAUUGAGAUAUUGUGAUAAAUUAUACUCUGUUUUAUUCAAGAUUUGUCAAAAAGGACAUUGUGACUUCAUGAUAAUGGCAAUAAUUGCAUUCUAUUUAUUACUACAUUUUGAAAAGCAUUUUAAUUCUUGUUAGUUCAAAAUGCAACAGACAAAAACGCACUGCAAUUUGCAUAUUAUCUUGUACUGAAGGAGCUGCAUCAGCUUCAAAUUGAUUUCCUGAUGCACUUUAAGGUGCUGAACAAAAUAGUCUGGACCAGGAAUGUCCAACUUUGGCAACUUUUAAGAUUGGUGAACUUCAACUUCACCAACUCCCAGAAGUUGAAGUCCAAAAGUCUUAAAAUUGCCAAGGUUGGACACCUCUGGCCUAGAGCUAGGAUAUAUAAAAGAUCCUGUCCCCUUAAUUCUUAUCCACUAAUUUUGAUUAGUUUCAUAAUCUUUGUUUGGUGGUGAAGCUGGGGGGAAUCAAAGGGAUCACAAUUUGAGUGACGUUUCUCACUCUAAUGUCCCACAGACUUAAUUUUUCUGACUUUAUUCUGGCACCUGAUAUUAUCAAAUUAAACAUGUAGUAGUGAUCAGUGGAUGUUGUCCCUCAAGGGACCAUAAGGACCUUGGAUAGGUCUGCAAUCCCCUAUCAUCAUGUGCUUUAAAUAAGGUUGCUGUGCACUUUUAAAUGCUUUUAAAAAGUUGGUUUAUUAAAUCCAUUUGCUUCUGAGAUUAAAUUUUUUGCUGCUUUUAUGAUUGCUUUUAUGCACACAUAAUACUGCUCAAGAAAUAAAGCAGUACUUUCUAAGUUUUUAUCCUGCCCAUGAUGAAUUAUUUGACAAUGGGUGAAAUAUGAUGGCUUGAAAGCUAUCAACUGGGACAAAUUAAAUUUCAGGGCUGGCUGGGGAUUUAACUCAAAUCUUUCUCAAGUCCUACUUUAACUAGUACCCCUGUUAAAAUACUGAGGUCAUAGGAUAUUUUUAGUUUGAGCUGAAAUUAUGUUUUUCAUUUUCUAGGAUGUAUACUGUAUCAGAGCUCUUGUAUGGAGCUCAGCAAAAGAAAAAAGGAGAGCCCUGGUUGAUUUGAAUGCUAGUUUCAAACUGAAUUCAUCUCAUGUUUGUACUCUGAUAUUAAGGGGAGCUAUUUUAAGCUCUUUGGGUAGCCUGCCUUCAGAGAAAAAUAAAGAUCAUGAAAAGGUAAUCCCAUUCUCCUAGAAUUUAUGGUUUGGGUAUUUUUUAAAACUGUAAAUUAGUGAGAGAAUAAUCUUAAUAGAAAUAUAUACUGUAUUUUGUUAGUACGAGGAAUGAUUUACUCUCAUAUAUAUGGACACAACUACUGGUAAUGCUAUGAACAAUUACUUAUAUUCCACUUGCUCUUAAAUCCAGUGAGGAGAAUAAUAUUUCUUUUUUAAAGAAUUUUUUGUAUUAAAGUUUAUAAUAUAAAAUACAUAUGUAAUAAAGAUCAGAAAGGGAAAAGGAGUGUAAUGAAAAAAGAAAAAGAAAGAAAAAGAAAGCAGUGACUUCCAACUCUUUACAAUGCAAUAGAAUACAAAGCACAGUUACAGCCUCAGCUUUUUACCUUACAUUUCUAGUAGAUACAAGCCAUUUCUACAAUAGCAAAGUUGAUCUAGCCAUCAAAACCUAAGAUCAAAAUUUCAUUUUUUUGUUUCAAGCAUAAAGUCUAAAACUAGUUUCCAAGUGAAAACAAAGCUCUUCUCUUUAAUUAAAACAGUCAGCUUUGCCAUCUGCACCAACUUCAUCACUUUUCCAUCCAUUCCAUUGUGGGAAUUGACAUGUUUUUCUAUUUUUAAUGCAUACUUGAUACUUCUACUGUCAACUUAUAUAAUAACAAAGUUCCAAAUAUUCUUUAAGGACUGUCCAGCAGUCCUUAAAAAGAAAGCCUCUGGUUUCAGUUUUAUAGUUGUUUUUUAAAAAGAGAUUUCUAAGUUUACCUAGGAAAACAGACUUGAUGAUAUCUUAUAAAAUAAUGUGUAUUAAUGAAAUAAAGCUUGGACCACUCAUGGAAUAUUAAAACAUUUUGAACCUAUAACCAAGAAUAAUACCAAUAACAUCUAUUAGGGCAGGGAUGCAGUAAUGAUAGCAGAGAUCAUUAAAAUGUCUGAAUUUUCUCAAUAGUCAAUCAGCUUUUCAGUAAUGUUUUGUAAUCUGAGAUAGCAAUGAGAUUCAUACACCGAACAUUUCUAAAAAUGAGUAUUGUAUUAUAAAAAUAUAGGGGGCGUGAUGGCAGUUAUAGCAAUUAAGAACUGGGCUUGUCAACCGAAAGGCUGGCAGUUCGUGACCCAAGCACCAUGUGAGGGUAAAUUUCCAUUCUUGCCCCAGCUCCUGCCACCUAGCAGUUCAAAAGCAUGCAAAUGCAAGUAGAUAAAUAGGUACCACUUUGGUGGGAAGGUAAUGGUGUUCUGUGUGCCUCAGCGCAUAGUCAUGAUAGCCACACAAUCACAGAAGCAUCUUUGGACAAUGCUAGCUCCUGGAUAAGAAAUGGAGAUGAACACUGCUCCCUAGAAUCAGAACAACUGGAUAGGUGAAACCUUUACCUUUUUAUAAUACAAAUAAAGUACAAUGAUUCAAGUGGUUAGGACGCUGGGUUAGAGGUUAGCAAACCUGUGUUCAACACUCAACUGCUGCCCUGGGGUAGGAUGAGCUCCCAUUCUUCACUCCAGCUCCGUCAGGGACAUGAAAGGAGCCCCCAACUUGGUGUCCCUCAGGCGAAGAUGAUGUCACCAGCUAAUCCUUUCAACCUGGAAGCACCUCAGUGCUUCUAAUACAAGUGUGAUGCAAUACAAAUAGAGCUAUUAAAAUGAUUUCCAUUCUUAGCUUCUAUGCCUAUUUGUUACAGAAUAAUUUAUUAUUCUCACCUCAUGGAACUAGCUGUAUUAUGUGACCACUUCUCUGGCUGAGGUAGAGAAUUGUAGUGCUUUAGCUGUUGCUGAACUUGACGUUUCAUUAGCUCUAAUUGGUAUGGCCAUUGACAAUGGUUGCUGACUGGUAGAUGAAAUACAGCAACUCCUGAGCAGCUAAAAGUUCCUUGCCAUAAAUGAUUGAUAAGGUUAUAGCCAACUUAGCAAUUUUCACAUUGAAAAUUUCAUCUGAUAAAUUAAUUUAGCAAAAUGAAAUACAGUGGGCUUUAUCACCAUAGUGACAGAAAUUAGAGAAAAAUAUUAAUUAAACACUUGUAAAAUGCAUGUGUGAGUUUUGGAAGUCAUUCAUGAUUUUUUCAAGAUUUAGUAGUUCAGAAGUGUAGUUUCUUGCAUUCGCUAUAUAUGACAAUAUUCCUGAUCUGACAAUGAAUGAACUAAAUGAACUAAAGCACAGAUACUCACAGCUAGCAGCCUAUUGCAUAAUUAGAUUGGGAUAUUAUUUUCUGAUAGGAAAAACUCACAUAGAUUUUUAUUUCAUACUAAUUUUGCAAAAGCAAGUAAUUUCUAUUAUGUGUUUUAAUUCUUUUAAAUUUUCUUUCCAAUGUCAAGCUCUAAAAUGAGUAUAACCCAUUUUUAAAUUCCCUUCUUUCCUUGAUGUUUGUACAAUUAUAUGCCUACAAAACAGUCUGCAAAUAUACCUACACAACAUCAUAAUGGAAUAUAUUCAGCCUCUUAUUUCAUCAAAAUAAAAUCUAUAUGGUUUUAUUCUUAUUUUUUCCACACAUAAUGAAAAGGAUUGAUUAAUUAUAUGCCAACAUGUCAUUUUCAAUUCCUGGUGCCACACAGAUUUUCUCCAUGAUCUAACAGGUUAGAUCCCUAAUCUGUUUUUUCAAAUCUGCCAAUGGUGCACUCAUCAUCAUUGUAACUCAGGAUGCGUCAUGCCAAAACCGUGCCCACCCCAUUGCUGGCAAUGGAAAAAAAGUUGCGAUACAUCGUGACACGUCACGUGACGUUGCAAGUUUGACACCCCUGUUGUAACUGACUGAUCUUGUUGCUAGUCUUCUCUUUCCUUCCACCUUUCUCAGCAUUAAAACCUUUUCCAGACUGCUAAGCCUUUGCAUAAUGUAGUUUGUUGUAUUGGCUAUUGUUUCUCAGUAUUGAAGUCAAACUACCUGGAGAAUACCAGGUUGGGAAAACCUGACCAAGAUUCUUUAUCCUGUUACCAAAAUGUGAUUCUCCACUGUGGCCAAAUGGUUAAGACUUUAGCUCAUCAACUGGAGGGUUCUCAGUUCGAGAUCCAAGUACCAUGUAAUGGGGUGAGCUUCCAUUCUUGCCCCAGCUCCUGUCAACUUGUCAGUUCAAAAGCAUGCAAAUCCAAGUAGAUAAAUAAGAUCCCAUUUGAUGAGAAGAUAAAAGCAUUGGUGUAUAGUCAAGCCAGCCACAUGACCAUGGAAGUGUCUUUAGACAAACUGGCUCCAUGUGUCUUAGGAUAAUGUUGCAGGAUCCAAUCUGGUCGGUCACCAAGGCCAGAGGUUUUGUUUUCCAAGCUUCAGACUCAUGCUGGAGUCCAUCCUCAGGGAACUUCUCUUUACCUUUUUACCUUUAAAGAGAAAUCUUUACCUUUAAUAAAGAGACAACAUUUUACACUUCUAAAAUCUAGUAUAGAUUUUCAAAUCCUGCCAGAUGACUGCACUUAACUGAACUUGAACAGCUAAACAGGAUCAGACAUGGAUAGCACUUUAACGGGAAAUCACCAGGUGUUAUCAAGAGUAUAGGCUAGAUUAGGAAGUCAAAACCACAUCCUGAAAGAAACCAGUAACAGAGAAGUUCUGAACUGUGGCCAAGACAACUAUGUGAAUGAAGACCUCAGAAAUCAAGUUCAACCUCAAUGAUAAUUUUUCAAAUCUUAUAUUUCAAAUAUCUAAUUAUAUUUUCCAAAUAGCACUGUAGUUAUCCAGCUAUGAAAUAUAUAAUUGUGUCUGUUUUCCAUUAGGCCUUAUCUCUCUCUUGGGACAGUAAGGAUUUUUGUGAUGUGGAAGACUUUUAUCAUCAUAAAAUGCUCGCUUUCUAUGAUAAGUGAGUAUAAGCAUCAGUGAAAUUGUUGUUAUAUACCAUAAUGAAUAGGGAGACCUUCCAUCCUAAUAGCUUCACACAUGAAAGACUUAAAGAAAAAUCUUAAUCUGACCUGCCAAUCAAACUUAAUCUUGUCAAUCCAGAUAGUUGAUGGACAAAGUCAGUGCCCAGGGAGAUAAAUGCUAGUGCCAGCAAGGAACAGGAAUAUUGUUCUCUCAAGUGGUUUCCAAAAAGAAGAUGACAACUCCUGUUUUGUCUUUGGUGUUUUUCCUUUAUGGAAAGAGCAAUUGACUUUCUUUUCAGUUGGAUCACUUGGCAUGUAAGCAGAACCCUGACUUGGCAGUGAAAUUGAGAUUCAGGAAAAAUGCAGUAAUAAACUAAUUUAAAUCAGAUAUACAUUGGAAUGUAACUGUGGAGCUUAGUUUGUGUGUGUGUUUAUUUCAGCCAUGAGUGGAAGCACUUCCACUCAUUUCCCUCCUAUCUUUUGUUUUUUCAAUUCCUGUUUACUUAGUAUACAUACAUAAGAAAGACUUUAAUUCAUAUUGAAUCUGUGACUUUCAUUCUAAAAAAUAAUCUUAGCACAAGGAAGUUAUGAUAAGAUGGAAUGAAUGAGAAGAAGUUGCCACUUUGCUUGCUCCUGAGUAAUUCAACAUGAUAGAGGAUUUCUGUAGAAAAAGUUGCUAGAGGCAAUAUUCACUGAAUAGUUGCCCUGGAAGUAUGGAAUGUGUAGUAGAGAUAGUAAAGGAUGGGCUUCAAGACAUUCCCCCCUCUCUUGAGGGAACUGGAGUGCCCAACUCACAAUGUCUUGUGUGUGGGUGUGUUUGCAGGCUCCCUUUUCAUGUGCAGAAUAAUACCAUCUACAUGUAUCACUUAUUUGCAGAUGCAACCUAUUUUUUUAUCAGAACUGUAUCUGUUUCAGAUGGCGUGACCCUUUAAAAUUCUGACAGGGAAAAAUGAAGAAAGACAGGGAUGUAGUGAAUUAAUACCAUAUUUAUUAUAACUGUGCAAGAAGAUAGUAAAGCUAUAAGUAAUUGUUUUACAGAUUCUUGUGGUCUCUAAAUGCUUUUCACACCAUAACAGAAAUCAACCUCUUUGAUGGAGCUACAUAUGCAGCCAAUUGUAAGAAUGAAUGAAUGUAUAUAAAGCUACUUUGCUUCCUUUUGUGAGUUUCCUUUACUUUAAUUGCAUUAUUCAGCCUAUCCUUGGUUAUAUAACCCUGAUUAGUAGUUUUAGUCUCAGAAAAAAUAAUAAUAAACAUAUUUUUCCUUGGCAUAGAUGAGUUUACUAGAUCUUACUUUGAUUUCUUUACUAUCUUGUAAAUGUUGGAUUUUGCACUUACUUGAUUGGAUGUAGAAAAGUGUAUAAAGUACAGCGCCUUUGAAAAUUAUUCCCUAUAUUAUCCAGGGUACAAGUUUAACAGUGAAAGCUGUUCAUAUUAGGUUUAUUUCUUUUUUACUAAGAAUUGGUUAAUUAAGAUAACUCAUUUUUUGUUCUUUAAUUAUGUAACUCUUUAAUGCAUUUGUUUGUUGUAUUCCUGAACUGGCAGCAAACAUAACCAGAGACGUGGGACAAUCAAAGAAAUCAUUUAGAUGUGGAUCUCUUGCAACAUAUUCUGACAAUACAUCCUUAGAAAGAAGAAAAGUAUAUACAGAAGCAGUCAGGCAAUCAGCUAUAGGACUUAGUGGUAAAUAUUGCAAAGGUUUUUGAACAGAAUAAGAGUUAAGAGGGCAUAAUCUUUUUUUCUAGAUAUCGUCUUCCUAUACUAUAUAAUAAUGUAGUUAGGAUUGUAGGCUUCCAAGCUGUCUUUGUCAAAGGGGAAAUUGAUGAUGGUGAUGAUUUAUAGCAAGCACCACUGCUACAGAGACACUUAAUUUCUCACAAUUUUGCCCUAUUUAACUAUUUUACUGUGAAUUUUCUAUUGUUCAUUGAACUAUGGAUAUAUUUGUGACUUGCCAAUUACAGAAGCUGUUAGAAUAAUAGAAGAAUCAAAUCAACUUUAAUUAAUGUCAAAGAUAAGCAAAGGAAAACCCAAAUAUGCAUUUUAUAUAGUUUUUCUCUGAUUUCACAGUAAUUAAAGUCAAUAAUCUGAAGCUCCCAGGAGUAUCAAAAUUACAAUUUCUUUUAUGUCAUGUUUAGAUACAAAUAGUUCAGCAGUGGCCUAAAUGCCAGCUAUUUUAUGGAAAGGCAAAACUCUCUAGGGUAGGGGUGUCAAACUGCUGGCCCGUCGGCCGGUUGCAUCAUGUGGAGGCUGCACCCACCCCAGCUCUGGCAAUGCAAAAAAACUUGUGAUACAUCGCAACAUGUCACGUGACGUGGCAAGUUUGACACCCGUGCUCUAGGGCCAGGAUCUUCUUAAAGUUCCAAUGUAUCCAGGAAGAUGGAUGUGUAGCAGAAUUCCAAUUGAUUCUGUAAUUCUUUUAGCUUAUAUUAAGUCACAUCUUUAUUCCCAUCGCAUGAAAAGCUUUAUGGCUUUAAAUAAUUGUUCAGCUAUCCCAGUGUAAUCAUACUUAUUUAAUGUAGCAGAAAAAUUAUACAAUAGAUUAUUCACUCUUUCCUCCCUAUUUAUUGCUCUGUCUUUUUAAAAUAUGCUUGAACCCUGGCCUGAUAUUCUAGUGAAGAAAGACUCAAGUUCAUUUUCAUCAAUAACACGGGGAUCUGGGAAGAAAGAUUUGAGUUCAUCAUUAACAUGGGGAUUUGAAGAUGAAGAACCAAAGACUUAUGAAGCAAAUGGAACCAGGAAAUAUUCAAAGAAACCAUCAAAGCCAGUAGACUGGGUUUUGUGAAGAAUGAAUCGACUUUCAUGGUAAGAUGGUCACUUGGGGUAAAGAAAGGUGUAGUACAGAACAAAAAUGUGUUGAAUGUAAAUCCAGUGAAGGGAUGUAAAAGGAAUCUCUUGAAUUGAUACUGGCUAUCAUUUAUUUAUUUAUUUAUUUAUUUAUGAGACUUAUAUACCGCUUUAAGUGCAAGCACUCUCUAAGCGGUGUACACCAGUAAGCAAUGUAUAUAUAUAUUUACAUUGCCCCCAACAAUCUGAGUCCUCAUUUUACCUACCCCUUCAAAAUAGGCAUUGUCAAUGUAUAAAUCACUAGCUCGCUCCUCUAGUGCAAUAUCUGGAUUCCUGAGAUCUGUGUUUUCAUAAUGCAUGACAACACUUAACAAGGGUUUCAAAUUCCUUUGUGUAUAAUAUAUGUUGGGAGGGGGAAGAUGGAAUUGGAAUAGCUGUUUUUCAAAAAGACAUGAAGAAGAUUAAAUAUGAAGCUAAAAAUAAUAUUGGAAAGAUUCAGCAAUUUCUUUUUAAAAAUAAAAUUGGGUCAAUUAUCUAGAAAGAUUAUUGAGUGGUAUGAUGGGCUAGUGGUGAAGAUGCUUGCCUCCCACUCAUAAAGUUGAGAGUUGAAUCCUAGUCAGCCACAGAUGUUUCCAUAUCAGGAUGAAAAGAGAAAAUAUCUGCUGCAAUUUCCACGUAGGGAUCAGGAAGGGCAUCUGGCUAGUAAAUGCUCAGCUCCAUUCAAUCUCCCUGACUCUACCCCUGACUCUACUCUACUCUAUCUUCUUUCUAGUAUUUUUAGUGAAGGUUAAAAAGAAUAGAUGAAAUUCUAAAAAAGUAAAUCUACUAAAAUUCCUUUGACAGUUUCAGAAUAUAUUAGGAUUAUAAUUUUGUUCCUAAAAAUAUGUUUUCUUUUUGCCAGAUGUUAAGAAGAAUUCUUAGGAUUUGUGCAGUGCUCUUUCACAAUGUAAUGUCAACAUAAUAAAGAUAUAAAGUCAUAGAGGUAUAAACAGCUGUUUGUGGGCACAAAGAAAAUUGUUUACAAUAAAAGGAACAAUCAGCAUCAUCAAGUAUUUGGUCAAUUAUAUUAACACAGAAACAGAAUGCAAUCUGUGUUGACAGCAAACCUUUUUAUAAUGAUAUAUUUACACCAUGUGCAUCUUAUUGCUUCUCACAAUGCAACGAGACACAUGAACAAGCUAUAUAAUCAUGAACCGAAAUAAAUCAUUGCAUGGAAGAAUAGAUCUGAGACAUUUCUAAUUAUUUCAAGACUUCUCUUUUGAAAUGAUAGUGACAAUUAGUGGUUUAAUUCUUGUUUCUUGAAUUGAUAUUACUUCUUUCAUAUACAUCUUAUAGAGUGCAUAUUAGCAAUCAAUCAGAAUAAAGCUGAAAAGGACCUUGGAGAUCUUCUAGUCCAAAGGUCUCCAAACUUUUGGGCACAGGGACUGAUUGCAUGAAGAGAGGGUGUGUGGUUGUAAGGACCCACCCCACUUCGCAUCUUAAGAAGACAGAACUCUUGGAAUAAUUCUUCCAACAGGAAUCCUUUAUUAAGAAGAAGUGGUUGCAGGCGUGCUAGACAGGACUUGGGG